AAUAUCUGUAUCAUCCUCUCAGUCUGCCCGUCUGACUAAGGAUGGAAUGCCGUGCUAAAAGAUAGCUGAGACCCUAAAGCUUCCUGUAAGCUUCUCCAAAACUGUGACGUAAAACGCGGGUCUCGAUCUGA